rnacentral:rRNA from 1 species
CCUACGGGCGGCUGCAGUGGGGAAUAUUGGACAAUGGGCGAAAGCCUGAUCCAGCCAUGCCGCGUGUGUGAAGAAGGCCUUCGGGUUGUAAAGCACUUUCAGUGGGGAAGAAAGCCUUGGGGCUAAUACCCUCGAGGAAGGACAUCACCCACAGAAGAAGCACCGGCUAACUCCGUGCCAGCAGCCGCGGUAAUACGGAGGGUGCGAGCGUUAAUCGGAAUUACUGGGCGUAAAGCGCGCGUAGGCGGUCUGAUAAGCCGGUUGUGAAAGCCCCGGGCUCAACCUGGGAACGGCAUCCGGAACUUUCAGGCGAGAGUGCAGGAGAGGAAGGUAGAAUUCCCGGUGUAGCGGUGAAAUGCGUAGAGAUCGGGAGGAAUACCAGUGGCGAAGGCGGCCUUCUGGACUGACACUGACGCUGAGGUGCGAAAGCGUGGGUAGCAAACAGGAUUAGAUACCCGUGUAGUC